AGAAAUUUAGGUUAAUACAAACCAAGAGCCUUCAAAGCCCUAAAUAUGAGAUCACCCUCCUAAUUUCUG
rnacentral:tRNA from 1 species